rnacentral:lncRNA from 1 species
UCUAAUAGAAACCCCACACAUCCUUCUCUUUUCUUGGAUUUUACCCUAUGAAACCACCUGCAGCUCCUAAUAGGCUCAUAUAUAAGGUGUCAAGGUGUGAUAAAAUACCUUUUCAGAUAAAUUACUGGCCUUAAGAGGACUUCUUUUUUUUUUUUUAAAUGUUUUCCCACCUGUGUCUCUGGCUUGGAUUAUUCUUGGACACAUGUAAUUAAUUGGAGGGGCACUCCUAAGUAGGCACAAUUCCCAUUUAAUGUGGAAUAAAAGGCAUAAAAUGCUGUUAGGAAGAAGGGUGGUGGUUUCUUUGAUAUUGUGAAAUGCAAAGAAGGACAGCAGCACAUUUGGAAUGGGAACCAAAAGAGAGCUGUCUGGCAAUAUACCAGGACAGCCAACAUCUUGGUAAGUUAUAUAUACACUUGUCUAUGACAAAGGAAAAAGUGUUGGAAGGGUUCCAAUAGCCCCGGGGUUUUUGGAUACGAGCCAAAUGGUCACAUAGACCACCCAGAAUCUGCAAAUGUUGGGCAGUUACAUCCUUUAAAGUCACAUAAUUCAGUCCACGACCAUGUGCAAUUUACGGUAACAAUGUUCAUGCCCAGGCAAUGUAUUUGGGGUCAGAAAAAGCAGAAUGUGCCACUGAGAGAAACCUGUUCCCUAUAUAACUGGUCUUCAUGCUUUCAAGUGGCCUUAAUAUACCUUGGAUACUAAGCCAAGCCAUGCAAAAGCAAAGAGCACACACUUUUCAUUAACAUUGGUAUCUCAUUUCUAAACCACUGACCUCAGAGUUGCCAUAGAAACAUAUUAACACGAGUACUGAAAGCAUACAGGGUUCACGGAUUUCUAAGAAAUGCAUUUCCCUUGUCUAUGUUCAUCAGCCUUUAAUACUUUGGCUACAAGGCAUAUCAGAGAAAGGGAGGUUAAAUUGGGUAAUGACAAAAGAACAUAUGUAACUCUGGAAAUAGGAAAAAUGUUCCAGAAACGGGAUCAAUGUGCCAGCAAUAAGCAUAGUUCAUUUCAUUUGAAAAUUCAGUUAAAGAGCCCAAUAAACAGUUCCAAACCAUGUUAUCACCUGCAUAAUUUACAUAAACAUUAAAACACUUGCACUUUAUAGACAAAACACACUUUUGUAAACAUGGCCACUGGGGGAGAGAGGCUCCCUACCUCAUUCAUGAUUGAGGACAUGUGAUCAUUUAUAUUAAAUAAAAUUAUUUCACUGCAAAAUAUCUCAAACCUGACCAAUGAUUAAGCUUCAUUUCCCCCUGUUUAACAUUUAAGUAUUAAUUCUAAAAAUGUCACCUAGGAUGGUUUCAGGGUUAGAUGCUAGGACCACAACUGGUAAUGACAGCAACUUCUCUCUAGCUGGCACAGACCUAUAAACUUUAGUACAAAAACAAAAAAAUACAGAAACUAGGUCAAUUUGUUAGCUACAUAUUUACAGAUAAUUACAUGAUUUUUCACUCACAAGUGCUAAACACUUUGAGUGAAAGAAAACUGUGCAGGUUGAAUUACCCGUACUUUGGGGGGAAUUCUGGGCAUCAAGAUACCCUUUUUCAUUCAUUCAAAAGUCUCAUCUUCUCUCCACUUUUUCAUGACAAACUACCUACAGAUGUUCAGAUUAGUAUAUCCAGUGGGCAUCCUGGUGUUUCAGUGAGGAUUAACCUUUUUCUCUAUUUAAAGAAUUCCUUGUAUAUUUAAAAACAAAACAAUACAAUCACACAGACAUAUAUAAAAAAAAAUACACCUCUGAAACUUCAAAAAGUUUAGAUUGCUGGGAAACAGUUAACAGUGAUGGUGACAUAGUAAAUGGCUCCCCAGUUUUAAUUCUCUGCCUUUAUUUUCUUUAAAGGAUAUCUAUCUUUGGGUGGGUAGGAAGUGCAAGUUUAAGAAACCCACAACAGGCAGAUAAGGUGCAUACUAAUUUAUAUACUUCUUAUGAUCUAAAGACUACUGUUAAGCUAAAUGGAGUCUCUUCCCUUGUAUGAGUAAAAUUUUGGAAAUCUGAAUACGAACAAGGAGGAAAACAUUAGUCAACAUGACUUUAAAGGGAACUACCAGAAUUCAGCAGAAAAUAUAAAUGCACAAUAAAGGAAGAGUUCUCAGCUUCACUUUCUUUUUCUAGACAGUGUUUAAUAAAACUUCUUUACAAAUUAAUAGUCAUUUCCAAUGCAGACCUAUUGUAGUGAUUUCAUAAAAGUGCAGACAACAUAACCAGACACAGCAAAACAGACUUCAAUCAGUAGUCCUUGCAUACAAGAGGCAAGUCCGCUAAGUGUACAGCCAACUCUUCAUCCUUUAAGGAAUCUGAGGAUGGGAAAUUUCCAGUUCUUAUAAACUAAGAGUGAGUGAGUCUCUUUUAAAAGGCAAUGCUGCAACCUGGUUGGGGGCACUAUCAAGUUAGAUGGGGGAAAACAAAACAGAUAAUUUGUUUUUCUUCAAUAAUGGUCUGUAUUUUGGUAAACAGCUCAAAGAUGACAGCCCAAGUUUUGACAUUGCUCUUGGAGAAGGCUCUUUUCUAUCUAAGAGAAGAGAACCUCUUCUUCCAUCAUUAUAGGAGAUUCACACUUAUAUACCUUAAAUAUAUUAUUUUUUGAUUUGAAUACAGAAGACACUUCACAUUGUGAGCAUAGGACAAAAUGCAGGACCAUAUAAAUCUCCAAGGAAAAAGUUAAUGUGUUGGGGCAAAUCUCUACUUGAAUAGUAGUGGCUCAGAAGUGGUGGAAGGUGCACAAAGAACUUACUAUUAGCAAGCAAGAAGAGGCAGGUAAAGGGAGAAAGCCCCUCACCCAAUACCAAGUCCUUCUCUCCCAGUGGCCAUUUCCUGUUGAUUUUACAGUUUAGGAGAAUCUUAGAUGCUUUAGCAGUAAUUCCUUUCUUGGCUGUUUUGAUCCUCAGCAAAGUAUAUAAUUAUUAGUAUUAAUGGAGUAAAAAAAGUAAGAGGAUCAAUGGUAUCACUACUAAGAAAUACACAUAGAAAGCACAUAAAGAUUGUGUGAUUUACUGGUUCUUUUUUUUUUUUAUCAUCUUUGCAGAGGAAUCACCA